AUACCUUUCUCGGCCUUUUGGCUAAGAUCAAGUGUAGUAUCUGUUCUUAUCAGUUUAAUAUCUGAUAUGUGGGCCAUUGGCUCACACGAUAUUAACUUUAUUUUUUAAGGGAGAAGGCCCUCCAAGAUAGCUUGCUAUCUGGGCUUUCGCGAGUCGCUCAUGCGUUGCACUACUGCACGGGCCUGGCUCAACCCGC
rnacentral:snRNA from 1 species